rnacentral:rRNA from 1 species
AGAGUUUGAUCCUGGCUCAGGACGAACGCUGGCGGCGUGCCUAACACAUGCAAGUCGAGCGGGACACUUCGGUGUCUAGCGGCGGACGGGUGAGUAACACGUGGGUAACCUGCCUUGUAGAGGGAGAUAGCCUUCCGAAAGGAAGAUUAAUACCGCAUAACAUUGAGAUAUCGCAUGAUAUUUCAAUCAAAGGAGCAAUCCGCUACAAGAUGGACCCGCGGCGCAUUAGCUAGUUGGUGAGGUAAAAGCUCACCAAGGCGACGAUCAGUAGCCGAUCUGAGAGGAUGAACGGCCACACUGGAACUGAGACACGGUCCAGACUCCUACGGGAGGCAGCAGUGGGGAAUAUUGCACAAUGGGGGAAACCCUGAUGCAGCAACGCCGCGUGGAGGACGAAGGCCUCCGGGUUGUAAACUCCUGUCUUUUGGGACGAAUAAUGACGGUACCAAAGGAGGAAGCCACGGCUAACUACGUGCCAGCAGCCGCGGUAAUACGUAGGUGGCAAGCGUUGUCCGGAAUUAUUGGGCGUAAAGGGCGCGUAGGCGGCGUCUUAAGUCAGAUGUGAAAACCCCGGGCUCAACUUGGGAACUGCAUCUGAUACUGGGACGCUAGAGUGCAGGAGAGGUAAGUGGAAUUCCUAGUGUAGCGGUGAAAUGCGUAGAUAUUAGGAGGAACACCAGUGGCGAAGGCGACUUACUGGACUGUAACUGACGCUGAGGCGCGAAAGCGUGGGGAGCAAACAGGAUUAGAUACCCUGGUAGUCCACGCUGUAAACGAUGGAUACUAGGUGUGGGAGGUAU